CAGGGGGUAGUUUCAAGCAUGUAUUGCACGGUCCGUUGCACGGUCAUCGAUUUUUCGCCGUAGAUAAUAAGUGACCUUCGGGCUCAUAACCUGAAGGUCGUAGGUUCAAAUCCUACUCCCGUAACCA
rnacentral:tRNA from 1 species